GGUAAACAGUAUUUGGGUUAGGGGAAGGGAUGGCAGCUCAUGCAAAAGGUAAGAUGUGGAAGUGGUUCCUCUGGCCACAACUCAAUGGUCUCUCCCCUCAGUGCUUGAAAGUGCCCCGCUGGCCAACCUCUCUGCAGUUAGGCAGCAGGUUAUGCCCCCCAGGCUGGCCCCUGAUUCUUACCUGCUCCAGCAGGUCUGAGAAAGAGGAGCCUAACCUACCAGCCUUUUCAGGUAGCAAAGCAACAGCAACUGGGACUUUGAAUGCUUUCGUCAGAAAAUUGUGGGUAGAAGCUUACAGCGGUUUACCCUGAGCUCCUUGAGGCUUUCAACUUCAGGCGCAAAUUGCUCCGAGCUCCUUGAGGCUUCUCAGCUUCAGACAUAAAGUGAGUGGGUGUUUCUCUGAGAAACAGAAAGAGAUCGAGAGAAGUGUUUCCCUUAGCUGUGGAAACUCUAUAAAGAGAGCUCCGGCUUCCCUUUUCUUGAGCACUUAGCAACAGGAGUCCCCUCCUCUGACACCUCAGCCUACACAGGAUCAAGAAGAAGUAAAAUUCUUUGCCUGGAGGGUGCCCCGAGUUCCUGGCUGCCAUGUGGCAGCCACUGAAUUACCCAUAUCCCCAAAUCUACUGGGUGGACAGCAGCUCCAGCUCUCCUUUGGCCCCUCCAGGGUCUGCUCUCCCCUGCCCUUCCUCUGUGCCUGGAAGGCCCGGCCAAAUGAGGCCACCACCACCCCCACCGCCACCGCUGCCACCACGGCCACCACUGCCUCCAUUCCCACCAUCACUUCUGAAGAAGAGACGGAAUCCCAACACAGGCCUAUAUCUCCUCGUAAUGUUUUUCAUGGUUCUGGUGGCCCUGGUUGGACUGGGGCUGGGGUUGUUCCAGCUCUUCCACCUGCAGAAGGAGCUGGCUGAACUCAGAGAGUCCACCCGCCUAAGCCCUGUAGCAUCAUCUCUGGAGAAGCAAAUAGGUCAGCCCAGUCUACCUUCUGAAAAAAGGGAGGUGAAGAAAGUGGCCCAUUUAACAGGAAAUCCCAACUCAAGGUCCAUCCCUCUGGAAUGGGAAGACACCUAUGGAAUUGCCUUGGUCUCUGGAGUGAAGUAUAAGAAGGGUGGCCUUGUGAUCAAUGACACUGGACUGUACUUUGUGUAUUCUAAAGUGUAUUUUCGGGGCCACUCCUGCAACAACCAGCCCCUGAACCACAAGGUCUACAUGAGGAACUCUAAAUAUCCCCAGGAUCUGGUGCUGAUGGAGGAAAGGAUGAUGAACUACUGCACUACUGGCCAGAUGUGGGCACGCAGCAGCUAUCUGGGAGCAGUGUUCAAUCUCACAAUUGCUGAUAAUUUAUAUGUCAAUGUAUCUGAGCUUUCUCUGGUCAAUUUUGAGGAAUCUAAGACAUUUUUCGGCUUAUAUAAGCUCUAAGAAAAGCACUUUGGAAUACUCUCCAUUAUGGUUCCUUGUUAUGGGCACUGAAAAUGCUGUCUUGAAUGAGGGUCUUCAUAAGCCCACUUGAAGUGAAGUGAGAAGGCAUGAACCAAGAGAACCUUAAGACCACAAAGUCCAGCAGUUUGUGGUUCAUACAAGGUCCAUGAUCCAGGUAGGAGGAGGAAUAUGACUGAGGAACAUAAAAUUCUGGGCUGCCAGGUGAAGAAGAAGAGACAGUGAAAAGCAGCUACCAGACUUGUUUGACACUCAAGUGACUAAGAACAUUUUGACACAUUGAAAAGGACACUUUUUAACUCACCUCUUGGGGUGGGUCUACUCACUACCUCAAGGAAAGCUGUCUUUAAGAUAUGUGGAGGUGACAUGAUUGUAUGAGGGAUGGAAAAAGAGGAGUAGGCUUGCAUGAUAAGCUAAAGAGACUGAAAAAACCAAUGCACCAUUGGCGGUAUCUUUACUUCUAAAUGCAUAGCCUGAGAUACCUGAUGAAGCUAAUGGAGAAUCGAGAGAGAGCUUUUGGGACACAGUCCGGUCCAUACACAAUGGUCAAGUUUCCGACCACGCACCUCAUGUGUAGAAAGUCAGACAAGUAUUCACACCUCCGUCUUGUUGCUGGGUUUUGGAACAUCCAGAGGCAGAACUGAGGCGAUCCUGGGAGAACUGAAUCAGAACCUCAAAACUUUAGGGUCUUCAGGUUCAGAAAUAAAUCCUACUUAGAAAUGACAUAGCCAUUAGUGGUAGCCAAGGGCCUUUAGGAUUCACCUGGAAACCAACCACCUUUGGAAAUGCAGACAGUUAAAUGGGUGUUGUACUCCUUACAGUUCAUCUAGAAGGUGGGGAAACACCAAGUCAGUGAUGAUUUUCUCACUUUUGCCAAAGCUCCCCCUGCACUUGGAGAUGUUUGUUCACAGUUCCAGAUGGUGCAUUUUCAGGGACAAGGGCAAUGCAGAUGUCCUCCACCCAGAAGGUUCUUCAUCUCUGUGUGGUCACCUGUUCUUCUAUUUCUCAAAUAGAAUGGCACAAGCCUCAAUCUCACAUUCUGUGGGAAGUGCAGACUUCUCUCCAAAACUGAUGGAAUUUUCAAGAGAGAUGCUUAUUCUUUUGGACCAUCUACACUAUAGCAGGUUGCUUAGCUCUCACCUGGAGUCAGACAGUGGAUGUUCUCUCCUUGGGCUCCUGAUAAAGUACCUUUAUAAUAAAGUACCUUUAUUUCCCUCAGGGCACCACCUCCACAAAUUGCUGUGUGUGGACAAAUUUUACUGAAAGUUUGGGAGUAAUGGAGAGAGAUUACCUUAUGGCACACACAGUAUAAGCUACAACUAAAAUUUAGUAUUAGACAUUACCACCAUCCUAAAAAUCUGCCACAAUUAUCUCCUCAAGUAUAUCACCCAAAAUUCUAGUAUUUGGAAGAAGCAUUGCACUUUUAUUCAUUCAUUCAUUCUUUAAACUAGUGUUUAUUGAAUGUCUACCAUGUACCAGAAACUGCCCUAGGCACUAUGGAUAUAUUGAUAAAUAAAGUCCCUCAUGGAGCUUACAUUUUAGUGGGGGGGAUGGUAAAUAUACAAUAAAAAAAAGUAAAUAAAUAAAAAGUCUUGUAGUAAGUGCUAGGAAAAAAAUUAACCAAGAUAAGGGGGUAGAGAUGAUGGAGGAGGGGUGGUUGUUUGAUAAGUGGUGAGGCAACAAGCCACAUGGGCAUCUAAGAUGGAACACGCCAAGCAGAUGAAUCGCAAGUGCGAAGCCCUAAGACAAAACAUCAUUUGGUCUAUCUGAGGCCAGUGUACCUGAGUGCAGUGAGCAAGAGGGAAACUGGUAGGAAAAGAAAUUGGAGAGAUAGCCAGGGGCCAGAUCAGGUAGGACCUUGAAGGUCUUGGAAAGGAAUGUGGAUUUUAUUCUAAAUGUUAAGGAAAGUCAUUGGAGGGUUGAGAGCAGAGUGACGGGAUCUAAUUUAUAACGUAAAGGAUCACUCUGGUUGUUUAUGGAGAACAGACUGUUGUGGAUCAAGACUCUGAAUUGGAAAACCAGUAAGAUGAGAGGUGGUGGAGGCUUGAACCAGGGUGUUGAUAAUGAAGGGGUGGAGAAGUCUCUUUGAUGCUAGCAUUAACCAGAUUUGCUGAUGAAUUUAAUGUGGUGUGGGUUGUAAGAGAAAAGACAAUUCUAGCGUAUUUGGUCUGAGCAACUGGGUGGAUGGUGGGGUAAUUUUCAGUAUUAGGAUUUUGCCGCUGUCACGUAGGAGGCACAGUCUGUGAUGGAGACAGAGAACUCUGUUUCCUGCUACAUGCCCUUGGGUUUGUACCAAGCAAAGGCUAGCUCAUCACUUGAUAGUCAGAGGCACAGAGGCCAGGAGCUUUUGCGUUCUGCUUGAGUCCUGUUCAUGGGCAUGAUUUCUUUAUAGUAUCCCUAUGAAGAAACAAAAACAGCGUGUAUUAAGAUUGCCACAUAUAAACCUAAAAUUGCCCCAUUUGCCAGAAAUUAUUCAUCAUAGAUCUUGGAUUAUUUAGAAAUAAUGAAAAGUAGCCUCCCUCCUAAUGCAGAAAUCCCCCUUUCCACAUUUCCAACAGGUGUUGUGUUUGGAAACUUCCUGGGCAGGGGCUCACUGAAUUCUGCACCGGGCUGUUUUACAUUUUGUAAAGUUCUUUCUUAGAUUUAACUGAAAUCCUCUGUGCCAUUACUUCCAUACAUUGGCCCCAGUUCUUUUCUCUGAACAGGUAGAAUACAACUACCACCUCAACAUAACUAAACUGGACCCGUUGCCAUCGAGUCAAUUCCAACUCAUGGCGAUCCCAUGUGCUUCAGAGUAGAGCUGUGCUCUACAGGGUUGUAAUAUUAUGGAAGUAGAUCAUCGGGCCUUUCUUUCAUGGUACCCUGGGUGGAUUCGAACUGCCAACCACUUGGUUAGUAGCUAAGAACAAAUCAUUUGCACCACCCAGGCACUUUACCACUUCAAUAUAACAAAUCCUAAAGUAUUUGAAUAGUGUUAAUGUGUGGUCCGAGUCUUUUUUUUUUACCCAUUUUAAAACAACUCCUAUUAUCCGAACUGCUGCUUAACACUCCUAUAGUACCUUAUAGCUUGUGAAGCUCUCUUAGGUACCUUGUUUAAUUUUCACUACAACCCUGUAAAAAAGGUUGUUAUCCCCAUAUUACAUAUGAAAAGAAGUAAAACACAAAAAGAUUAUGAGAUUUACUCUAGGUGACAUGGCCAGUGGCAGAGCUAGGACUUAACCUUGGGGCUUAAAACUCUAAAUCUAUGUUCUUUCCAUAUAAAAAGCCUUCUCAGAACUACAUCCUAUAUGAUGGCACUCAUCAUGAGCCUCAGCCCGGUAAUUUUUGGUGACACCAUUUAUAUUACUUUCAUCCUUUGCAUUUCAAUUUCAAAUUCACUUUGCCUAAUACGUAUCUUCUGUACUAUAUAAUAUAAAUUUAUAUUUAUUUGUAUAAAUAUUUAAUGUCAUGGCUUGCAGAUAGAUGUCAUAAGGUUUUAGAGUUGACAGUUGCUCUUAGAUGGUCUUCUUUAGCUGCUUCCUGAGAGUUAUGGGUUACUUUCUCUACUAUGUUCUACUCGAAAUACCCAUAUUGCCUCUCUGCCACCAAAAACAUCCUGGUUUUAGUUGGUGGGAUGAAGGGCUUGGACUCAGAAGGUCUGGGUUGAGUCCUGCCUCUGCUGUUUCACCUGUUAAGUCAUUUGCACAAACUCCUUGAGACUCAGCUGUCUCCUCUGUAAAACACAGAUGCCAAAUUCCCACUCUUACAACUUUAUAGGUAUGCUGUUCAUGCCAGAUGGGAUGAAGCCCCUUUUGUGACUUGGAAAGGCACUCCUGAAGGUCACCAGGCCUUUCUCCCAUGGUUCAAACCACUAACCUUUAGGUUAGUAGUUGAGUUCAAAAUGUUUGCCUUAUGAGGGAUCAUUCUCCUGAAGGUAGGUGGGUGGAAUUGUUAAUAUUCCCCAACAACUGUCCUGAUAAAACUAUUGGUAAAAAAAUUCUUACUUGCCGUUAUCGUGUUUCCACAAAAUUGAUCAUCCAUCAUCCUACCAUACAUAAAAUCCCAUCAAACAGGAAUAAUAGGUAAAUUCAUCCCCUGAGAUAUAAACAUAAAAGAAUAACAUCCUACAUCUGCAUAGCCUUUAAAACAUUCUCUUACAUGCCUCUUGCUUUUACUGCUUUUUUAAAAUAUGAAGUAACACUCAUGAAAGCUGCUGGCAUGUGUCAGAUUCUCCGUAAAUGUUUGUUGAAUGCAUUAAAUAUAUUCUGUGCUCUUUAUAUUCACAGCGUAGUGAGAUUAGCCUUUUUGAUGACUUUUUUUUUUUUAAAUACUGAAAUACAACUAAAUAAGGUGAUAAUUAUAAGUUUGACUAGGGAUACUUAACAUUUUAACUCAUUCUCAUAUGUCAGGACAUGUAACUAAAACCAUUCACUUAGCCCAGGGUCAUUUCAGAAAAUGUGAGACGCUAAGGGAAACCCCUUCCUCUAGCACUGCUCACCACAGAAGAGAGAGAGGUUGUUGGUUCUUCUGUUGUAGCCCUGGCUUUCAGUGGGUGAACCACUUGAAAGACAAUGUGAAUUGAAGUAAGAGACAUCCUUGGUGUUAUCAAGUUUUUAAACUGUCUGCACUUGUAGACCCUACACAAGACAAGUACCUUCGCAAAGGAGAUUAGAGAAAUGGAUAGGCAUCUACGGGUGUCUCAGAUGUUUCUCUGGGCAAGGAUUCUUUUAGUCUCGCUUGGUUUAGGGCUCAAUUUUCUCACACACUUCACCCUAAUACCAUUCUUGCUCCACUUCUAGUCUGUAGAAGGAAACUUAGUACGCAUUUUCUGGAAGAGAAGACACUAGAUGUUGCUUCUGAUUGGAAGAGAAUGUAGCUGGAAGAUUCCGGAAGCUACAAAGAAGCUUGUCUGUGGCCUAAAAUCAACUAGUUAAGAUUCUAGACCUUCACAACAGAGAUUAAAGAUUGCAGAGGAAGAGACUGGGGAUUCCGGUAACAUGAAAUGUGUUUUAUUCUCCUCACCCCAUGUCUUCAUUGAGAAGAGAGAGAGAACACCCUUGACCCAGAUGAUGAGAAAGAGACACAGAGGUGUCAAACAGAACUCUAAAGUGUGAGCUACAAGGAAAGGUUUGUUUCAAACCUCAGCAUCCUCUUUGCAUCAUUCGGGUAGGCUUGUGUCUCGGCUUUUAAGAAACUCUGGAAACCUCUACUGGAGUCUGGGAGGGGUGACAAAGAGCAGAAAGCCGUGCGGGGGCUGAGAUGGUUCAUACUUCUUUUAGAGCUCUCUUCUAGGUUUCCCAAGGUCAACCAACUGGCUCUUCAUAACUUCCCAGAAGAACAUGAACAGAACAUGAACAGACUGCUUCUGUCCUAGAAAGGCAGUGGGAGUCAGCCAGCAGGGGAGGAGGUCGGGGGCUGGAUUCACUUUGAAAAGGAAGAUAAAUGUAAGGCACAUUUUCUCUGCUCUACAGUCAAGCCCACAUUUUCAUAUGACUCACAAAGUUGGUAAGGAUAUCAACUUUUCAUUUAAAAAAUAAUGUGAGACAUCACAGGACUUAUAAAUAGUGGUAAAUAGUUGCAAUUUAUUGACUGUCUUUGUGUAGAAAUAAUGCAAAACACUCAACAGUUAUGUUUAUUAACCCUCACAACAACCUCAUAACGCAAAAAUAUAUCCUUCGCUAUCAAGUCGAUUCAGACUCACAGUGACCCUAAAGGACAGAGUAGAACUACCCCCUAGGGCUUCCACGGAGCAGCUGGUAGAUCUGAACUGCUGACUUUCAGUUAGCAGUCAUAGUUCUUAACCACUGUGCCACAGGCCACCAGUCACUGUGAAAGCCAAACACACUCCCCAUACAUUUCUAGACACCUCUCUAUAGAGUGGCUCCCUCCACUAUGCCCCUUGUUGAAAACCACUAUGCAAGAGCAAUGGCUUGGCAUGUAGCAAGAACAGAAUGAAGGGCUGUGUGGCUGGAGUCAGGGGCUGUCAAGAGAUGAUGCUGGAGAGGUAGAGCUGUGCAAGCUAAGAUUACAUUUUUAGUCCCAAGGGAAGCUGUUGAUAGAGUAGAAGGGAAAUUGAAGAGAAAUGGAAAAACUUGAUAUAUAUUUCGGUAGUAGACUUGUCACAUCCAUGGAUUGGAUGUUGGGUACAUGGGAAAGUAAUAAAUCAAAGAUUACAUGAAGUAUUUUUUACUGUUUCCUUCACAGUACCUGCCAUAAUUAUUCCCUACAUUUUUUUUCUCUUUGUUUAUCUUUCUGAUUAGAUCGUGGUCUACUUUUAUUCCGGUGCUUAAUAAAAAUGUGUUGAAUGAAUGCUUGAACAGUAUUCAUUCCUUCUCUUUCUUUAGGAUUGACCUCAUUUUUGUUUAAUGGCUGUGUGGAUAGACCAUCCUAUAUUGAGUCAUUUCUGUACCAAUGGGCAUUUAGGUUUUUCCCAAAUUUUUGCUUUUUCAAAAAAUGCUGCAAUGACUAUUUAUAUGUAUGUCUUUGUACAUUUCUGCUAGUAUUUCUCUAGAAUAGAACAGUAAAAUUUGAAGGGUUAGAGAUAAUCUAUACAUUUUAAUUUUCUAUGGGUGUUAUUAAACUGCUCUCUAAAAAGUACCAAUUUACUCUCUCACACUGUGUAAAAGGGCCUUUUCUCUCACUGCAAGCACCGCUCAAGGUGGUAAUUUAAAAGGUUUUUUACAGUAACAGUCAAAAAAUGGUAUCUCAUAAUUUGCAUUUUAAAAAAGCAUUUGAGAGGUUGAAACUUCUCAUUUUUGGUUUUAUUUCUUGCCAGUUGUAUUUCUUCUCCAGUGAAUUGCCUAUUAUAAUUUACCACGUCCUUAUUAAGCUUUUGUCUUUUUAUUACUGGUUGACAGCUGCUCCCCAUAUUGUAUGAAUAUGACGGUCUGUUACAUGCAUUUCAAAUGUUUCCUUCUAAUGCGUCAUCUGCUAAUUUUUUCCAUGCUCCAGGGUUUACUUUUUUAAAACAAAUCUGUUGUUUCCUUUAUAGAUUUUUGUCACACUUAGACUUCUCACACCCUAAGAUUACAGAUAGAUAGAUUCUUCUCUAUUUUCUUCUAAUGUAAAGUUUUCAUUGUAAAUGAAAACUUUUCUAGUUCUAUAAUCUAUUUUAAAUCUAUUUUUAUACACCAUGAGGUCGGUAGUAAACUUAAUUUUUUCACAAUGGGUAGCCGAUAACCUAAGCAACACCAUCUUUUGAUUUCUCAUUCAUUUGAAGUGCCAGCACUGUCUGAGACUAAGCUUCCCUUUGUGCCUGGGUUUGGUUCUGCUGGAUUCUCUCUUCUGUCCCUUUGAUGUCUUUAGCUAUUUCUAGAUUAAUGACUCACCGUAUUAAUUACUUCAUCUUUGUGACUGUGUGCUUCAAAGUUUCCUUGAAAAUUUUUGCGUAUGUACUCCUGUUACAGACUUUAUCAUCAACUUGUUGGAUGCCCCUCACUUACUUCCUUGUCAAAUCCUAUUGAAUUUUUUAUUAGAGUUGCAUGGAAUUUGUUGUAACAGUUUGGGAAGAACUCGACUGCUUUACACUAUGAAGUCUACCUUUCUAGGAAAAUAUGGUAUUACUCAGUAUUACCAUAUUCUGAGUUCUACUCUGUUUUAUAAGGUCUCUAUGAGUUGGAAUAAACUUGACAACAAUGGGUUUAGUUUUUUGGGUUUUUUAAUACGCAAAUUUUAAUUCUGAAGAAGAUAAAAAUACGAAAAAAUAAAAAUCUCUGUUCUCAAAGGUGCUUUUAAUCUAAUGGUGAAAAGAAAUAUAUACACAGAUAACUCAAAGGAAUGAACAAAGAGGGGAAGUUGGUGAUGUUUCUACUGUCCACUGAUUUAUGUUCAGGAACAAAGUCAUGGAAUCAUCAUGGGUUACUUACUGUCUUUCCCCCUUUGAUGUUAUCCUGUGUGGCUCCUAAGGCCUAGUGAAGUGUCCUUCUCUGAUUUUUUCAUAGUUUUAUUUUCUUUAACAGACACCUUUUCUUCAGUUGGAGCCCUGGUGGCAAAGUGGUUAAGAGUUCAGCUGCUGAACAAAAGACCUUCAGGCAGUUCGAACCCACCAACCACUCCUUGGAAACCCUAUGGGGCAUAUCUACUCUGUGCUGUAGGGUCACUAUGACUCAAAAUCGACUCAGUGACAACUGGCUUUCUUCAGUUAAAGCAUUCGGCUGCUAACUGAAGGGUUGGUGGUUUUAAUCCACCCAGAGACACAUUAGAAGAAACACCUGUAGAUCUACUUCCGAAAGAUCAACCAUUGAAAACCGUAUGAAGCACAAUUCCACUCUGUCACACAUGGGGUCGCCAUGAGUCAGAAUCAACUCAAAAGCAUCUAGUUGGUUCCCUUCUCUAACUCUACUUGGCCUUUUCCUAAAAUUGUUCAAGUGAUUUUCUUUCUAACUUCAACCUACACUAUACAAUUUUUUAGUAUGGAAAAUGCAUAUAUUUUUAUUUGUUUAUUUUUCUCUCUUUUUUUCUUGUACUUUAAAUUGAGGUUUACAGAACUAAUUUCUCAUUAAACAGUACACAUAUUGUUCUAUGACAUUGGUUAACAACCUCACGACAUGUCAUCACUCUCCCUUCUCGACAUUGGGUUCCGUAUUACCAGCUUUCCUGUUCCCUCCUGCCAUCUAGGCCUUGCCCCAGAGCUGGUGUGCCCCCUUAGUCUCGGGUUUUUUU